rnacentral:rRNA from 1 species
UUGGAGGGCAAGUCUGGUGCCAGCAGCCGCGGUAAUUCCAGCUCCAAUAGCGUAUAUUAAAGUUGUUGCAGUUAAAAAGCUCGUAGUUGAACUUCGGGGUCUACCCAUUGGUCAGGCUUAAUUGUCUGCUGGUGAGAUGGAUCUCUACCUUCUGAGGAACUUUCAUGCCAUUUAUUUGGUGUGAUAGGAAAUCAGGACUGUUACUUUGAAAAAAUUAGAGUGUUUAAAGCAGACUAUCGUCUGAAUACAUUAGCAUGGAAUAAUGAAAUAGGACGGACUGAUUCUAUUUCGUUGGUUUCUAGGAUCACCGUAAUGAUUAAUAGGGAUAGUUGGGGGCAUUAGUAUUCAAUUGUCAGAGGUGAAAUUCUUGGAUUUAUUGAAGACUAACUACUGCGAAAGCAUUUGCCAAGGAUGUUUUCAUUAAUCAAGAACGAAAGUUAGGGGAUCGAAGACGAUCAGAUACCGUCGUAGUCUUAACCAUAAACUAUGCCGACUAGGGAUCGGACGAAGUUAUUAAAAAUGACGCGUUCGGCGCCUUACGGGAAAC